rnacentral:misc_RNA from 1 species
UCAAAAACCAAAGCCGUUAGAGUUCUGGAGUCAAUUUCGAUAAAUAACGAUUCGAAACGCUUCGUCGCAGAAACACAAAAUCUCAUGCCAGUUCUUUUCCAUCUCCUCAAAGCAGAAAACGAUCCAGCGUUGCACGACGCAGUUUUGUCUCUCUUGAGCUCAAUACAUAACUCGCUCAAUCAAGAAUCAAAUCGUGCAACUCGGACUCGUUCAAGUCAUAUCUAAAGCACUCUCAAACAAAAACGCAGCCGUUUCACUCGUGGAGAAGUCCUUAAAGCUGGCAUCGAUAGUUUCGACGUGCGCGGAUGGUAGAAAAGCGAUAAGCGAUGACCCGAAAUGCGUAGGAUGUAUAGUAGAGAGGUUAAUGAAGGUUUCGAAAACGGCGACGGUGGAUGCUGUAAUGGUGCUAUGGAGUUUAUGCUGUUCAUUCAGGGAUGAGAGGGUGCAGGAGAAGGUUAUGAGGAGCAAUGGUUUGACCAAGUUAUUGCUGGUGAUGCAGAGUGAAGGGGAAGGGAAUGUGAGGAUGAUGUGUGCGGAUUUGGUGAAGGUUUUGAGGGUUGGGUGCAAAGAUGGUGGGGUGGUGAUGAGCUAUCAGACCAAAACGACACAUAUCAUGCCUUGUUAGAUUUGAGAUUGGGUAUAGUGC